UGAAGGGUAUCUCGAGUCCACUGUGGAUCGGAGACCACCUCUAUAUCUUAUUCAACCAAGGAAAAUCCAAAUAAUAACAAGUGAAAGACGAAUAGAAAAUAAAUAUAAAGCAGCUAAUGCAAGUCAAAGAACAAGAUCUAGAGUCAACAAUACCAUCCAACCCACACAUGUCCACAAAAUCCACUAAACCAAUCAGAAUAUCAAACUAAGUUGGGACAUA
rnacentral:lncRNA from 1 species